rnacentral:rRNA from 1 species
UUAUCGGAGAGUUUGAUCCUGGCUCAGGACGAACGCUGGCGGCGUGCCUAAUACAUGCAAGUCGAGCGGACAGAUGGGAGCUUGCUCCCUGAUGUUAGCGGCGGACGGGUGAGUAACACGUGGGUAACCUGCCUGUAAGACUGGGAUAACUCCGGGAAACCGGGGCUAAUACCGGAUGCUUGUUUGAACCGCAUGGUUCAGACAUAAAAGGUGGCUUCGGCUACCACUUACAGAUGGACCCGCGGCGCAUUAGCUAGUUGGUGUGUGAGUAGCACACCAAGGGGAACUGCCGUUAUCCACCACGUACGCAGCCUGCGGAUGAGGCCGG